rnacentral:lncRNA from 1 species
UCAUUUUGUAUUUUUUCUUUAGUAUUAAAAUUAAUUUAAAUUAACCUGGUGGAGGUGGUGGCACAUGCCUUUAAUCCCAGCACAUGGGAGGCAGAGGUAGGUGGGUCUCUGAGUUCCAGGACAGCCUGGUCUACAGAGUGAGCUCCAGGACAGCCAGGGCUACACAGAGAAACCCUGUCUCAAAAAACAAAAAUAAAUAAAAUAAAAUGAAGAUAAUAUUUUUAUAUUCCUAAUUCUAUGGCAACCUUAGAGACAUAAACCUUGCCCUUUGCAAUUCUUCCACACUGGAUCUUUACUAUGAUCUUCCCUCCUUAUUUCUUGGGAACUAUCACCGUGUUUUCUCCCUACACUUUGGCCAUGGCUCCUCCAUGCUACUUUCUGGAACAGACUUCUGGUUGCUGCUGACUGGGCUGGAGGUGGGUGGGCGCCUCAUUUAAAGCUGGGAGAGUCGGGCUCUUUUCCUUUCAGAUAUUUUGCAGACAUGGGAGAUACUGUUUGGAAUGGACCCAGGAAGUAUUCUCUAUACAUGAACCAGAGAGAUAGAGGAACAGUUCUACAGAAAGGGAAGAAUGAGGUGGAGACAGGCGCAGAGAGAGGCAGGCAUCUAGGAAAGUCCGGGAAUAGAGAAGCCUGUCCUGACAUCUUGCCUACCAUGAAGUCACGAAAUCCAAUGAAAGGACUGAAAGGAUUCAGAGUGGCUGAAAGGGGAUUGCCAACCUCAAAGAGGGUAGUCUAGCUGUUUAAAACAGAGCAGAGGGCUCUGGGAAAGGAAAUGUUGUUGGAGAGAUAAGUAAAAAAGCCACAGCUCAGAGAUGCCUUCUUUUAAACACAACUGGAACAGCAUGUCCUGCUCAGAUUGUUAUGGAAUCCAUGUGUAUAAGAAAAUGAUCUGAGCACAGCAAUGGCCUGAACAGAUUGAUGGGUCAAAUCUUUAAAAGAACUUUAAGUCAAAGUGUUAGUUCAGUGCAGGUAUGAGCAACCAUCAAUGGUGUUCUCACAUUCAUGCCUUCCCCCUCUGCUUCAUUUCUGCACUUGUAAGCCCCAUGUCUCUGAAAGUCCUGUGAAUCCUGAAUGGAAACUUGGUGCAAUUUCGUCUUGCCACAAAUCUUUCAGUAGCACCUUGGCAUACAGAAGAUAAAGCCCAGGUCCUUACCAUAUUGGCCCUUGGGACUUGUCCUCAUUUUCUCAAACUGAUGUUGGUGCCCAAGACCUGGGUUGCCUCCCUGCCCUUCCCCUUUCCCCUGCCCCUAUAUUUUCUGGGCUCCCAAAGCUCCUGGAGGUUUCUAGUAGCAAGGUGCUUUCCUCUUCUCAAGAGGAAGCCAAGCCAGACUGACUGCCUCUACACCAGGAUGACAGCCCUGGUUCUGCUUUGCUGCUGAACAUCAUUCAUUCAUUCAUUCUUCAUUCAUUCAUUCUAUAAGCAUUUCUUUUGUGUCUACUUUGUGUCAGGAAUUGUGUUAGACUUCAGUGGCUAAGUGACAUAAGUGUUUUUAUUGGGGGGGGGGCGUGUUUUAAGACGAAGUUUGUCUGUGCAGCCCUGGCUAUCCUGUAACUCACUCUGUAGACCAGGCAGGCCUCAAACUCAGAGAUCUGCCUGUCUCUACCUCCCAGUGUUGGGAUUAAAGGUGCACGCCAACACUGCCCAGCUGUGACAUAAGUUUAUAACCUGACACUUCUCCUGAAGAUCGGAAAUCUCAUGUGGGCUUUACCUGCUUGAGGUCAGAAGCUUGUGGGCUGUAUUCCUUCUGAUGAACCAGGAGAGUCUGAUUCUCCCACCUUGGGUGUUGCCUGUAUCAUGAUCUCUUCCUCCAUGGUCAAGGCCAGCUCUGCAGCAUCUUCAGCUGUCUCCACUGGGAUCACAUCUCCUUCUCCAGUUCUGAAUUGUCCUCCCAUUGUCUCUAUAGAGAACCUUGUGAUUUCAUUGGCCCCCUGCAUAAUCCAGGAUUAGACCCUUUCUACUUCAAGUUUGUUUGUGUAAUCACACCUUCAAAGUCUCCAUUGCCAUAUAAGGUAAGAUAACACUGAUUCUGAGGCUUUUGGGAGCAGUUUGUUUUGUUUACUAACCUUUUCCUUUGUUGUUAAGUCAGAAGAGGUAGCUGGGAGCUGUGGCAUGCCUAUAGUCCCAGGUACUUGAGAACCUGAGACUGGUUAGGAAGUUGAGGACAAUAUAGUGAAAGACGACAGUCAACUCAAACAAACACAAAACUAAGAACCUCAAAACUAAGAACCACCAACAAAACAAACAACAAGCGAAAUAGAGCCAUCUCAGAUUCUAAUUCUAUUUCUAGGUGUUGGAAUCCAGCAGUGCAUACAGAUGUGUGGUUCCUGCCAUCAGGCGCCUCACACUAUAGGGAGGAGACAGAUGAUAAGCCAACUAAUAGUUAAAUAAUUCAGAAAGCAAAAGGAAGCUAGGGAAAAAUAAAGUUGGUGGGAGCCUGUGAAGGGUGAGGUUGAGGCAAUUGCUAUUAUAUUACAGUGAUUACAACAAUCAAGGAAUGGAGAAGUUGGUUUUGGUAAUUCAAGAAGAAGGAAUUGAAUACAAAGAAACAUGAUGGGAAGGCUAAGAAGUUAGCCAGCAUGAUGAGACCAUUUAGCAUGCAGAAAUUUUCAGAAAUUGUGCUGCUAGCUAGGAACCCAGGGCCACACACCUGUGCCUGGCAAGGACUGUACCACCUACAUACACUGCAACCCAAUUUAGUGAUCAUUAUCUUCAGCCUGAAAAAGUCACAGAGUGUGCAAAUGCUUGUUACUCACUAGGACCUGGGGCAGUGGAGGAAAAUGCAUUGCUAAGAUACUUACUGCCUGAGCCUGAAAGGGGGAUGUCUGGAGAAGGCUUUAGCUUGCUUGCCUUUGCCUCUGUCCAAAUUGUUCCUCCCUACGGUUGAAUCUAGCUGGAGUCCCCAUGGUAAGGAAGGCUGGGAAACAUGGGGGGGGGGCAGAUCUCCUGUGAGAGAGAACAGGAAGGCUUCUGAAAGUGGAAAGGCAAAUGACCAACCUUUGUACAGACUAAGGGAACGCAGAGCCUGAGUCAUGCAGGUGCUUGGGGAAAGAGCUUUCCUAGCAGACGGUUCAACAGAUGUGCGGCCUGGAGGCAGAAGGACACCUGAUUGAUGGGUUUAAGGACAACAGGGACACCACUGUUGUUGAGUGCACAAAAGACAAAGGGGUCAGAGAAGAGAGCUUACCUGCCAUGCUUGUAGGUUCCACAUCCCCACGGAUUCAGCCAACUAUGGAUCAAAGAUAUAUUACACACACACACACACACACACACACACACACACACAGAGACACACAGACACACACACACACACACACACACAGUGUGUGAGGGGAGUCACUAUUUUCUAAACAAAUCUGUGUAUCACCAUUAUGUAUUGUAAGAGGACAAUAAUUUAAAGUGUUCUGGAGAUGUGUAUAGUUUAUAUGCAAAUUCUGUGCCUUUUUUUUUUUUUGAGAUAGGGUUUUUAUUGUAACUGCUCUGGCUGUCCUGGAACUCGCUCUUUAGAUCAGGCUGGCCUCAAACACAGAGAUCCAACUACAUCUGCUUCCUAAGUGCUGGGAUUAAAGGCAUGUGCCACCAACAUCUGACAUUGUGUGUGUGUAUGUGUGUGUGUGUGUGUGUGUGUCUGUGUGUGUGGCCAUUUUUUUUUUUUAAAUACAGGACUGAAACACUGGGAAUUUGGGUGUUCAUGGCAGAGGGAUAAGGGUGGUGGUGGGUAGGCAGGUCCUGGACCUAGUCCCUCUUGUAUGCUGAAGGACAACCAAAUACAGUUCUCUAGGUUGGAAUUUGAAUUUGUGGGGUUUUUUUGUUUUUGUUUUUGUUUUUGUUUUUUGAGACAGGGUUUCUCUGUGUAGCUUUGCAGUGAACUUGUGUUUUAAAAUUAUUAUUUCCUUCGAGUUUCAUGAGAAUCCCUGGGAAGUUUCUGAGCACCAAGGUGACAUGAUCUGACUUACAUAAGCUCCACAUUCUACAUCAAUCAUGUAGAUCAGAUUUAUUUAUUAGUGUCAGAGGGCAGAGUAAGUAGGCUAUGUAUGGAGACCAACAGGGAGACUAUUAUGACAAUUGGGUGGGAAAUGUCUUGAAGCAGAGAUGAAGCAUUUCCCUGGAUGGAGAGUGGUUGCCUCUUGCACACAUUCGGAAGGAAGGGCCAGCAGUAUUUAUUCAUGGUUUGGAUGUGGGCUGUGAGAAAAUAGAGAAGAAUGACUGUAAGAAGUUUGCUCUGGACUU